CUUGAUUUAAUGUAAUCUUAUGAACAACACAUAUAUCAAUGAUAUGCAUCUUAAGCUUGAGCCUCCAUUUUUAUACUCCAUUGAGAUGAACAGAGUGUUCUUCCUACUAAUACUAACCCCCAGAUCUCAUCAUCUCUUUUCCAUGAUUUCUUCUACCACUCCUAUUCUCUCAAAUCAACACCAAAAUCUCAUCAAAUUUGGGAUGUGGAACAAUAAGUAUGUUGAAUUUGAUCAUCACUAAGUAUUAUUAUCUGGUGUUAUUUGAAUUUGUAUGUUGUUAGUAUCUAAGGAAUUGAGAAGACCAACGUGGUUGUGGUGUUGAACAAAAUUGAAGAUAUGCAGCUUGACAACGAAUUGUUAAACAAGGUUGGAAUGAGAAUUUGGGAUUGAAGAGGAAUUGGGUUUUUCUUGAAGUGGGGAGAAGAAAAUAGUUAGGGUUUGUUAUCAACAUUUGAGAUGAGAGAAUUGUUUGAAGGUGAAGGGAGCAAAUUACAGGCUACGAGGAUUGAAGUUGUGGUGAUGGACAAUGAUUGAGAGAGAGAGGUGGUGGUGCUGGCUAUGGAGAAAGGUUGGUGGGUGGACUGUGAUUUCGAGUAAUAAAGAGAGAGAGAGAGAGAGAGAGAGAGAGAGAGCCGAGGACGACUCUAUUAUAAGGUGGUGGGAUUGUAACACCCAUGAGUUGGUGUUAGUCCCAUAUUGCCAAAGAAGUGGUUGUAUUGGUAGUAUAUAGAGCUUAACCAUACUCUAACUGAUGUCAAGGUCUUUUGGAUAAAACCUAGAUGGGUGGACCCUGAUCCAAAACCCUUUACUGUUGGAUAUCCACAGUGACUAAAGGGGGACAAUAUUAACAUUAGUGAGCAGUAUGGUGCUCGACGUACCAUGUCCCCUAUUCCCUUUAUUGAUCUUACUCCAUUUUAGUAGUCGUAAUUAGAUUAGAAGUAGUUAAUAUAGUUGGAUAUCCGCAGUUAUUUGAUACCCUUCCUUGCCGCUAUACUCGAAUCCUUGGAAGGAUUAUUGUUGUAGUAGUAUUGAGUCAACGACAAAAUCUCAUCAUUCAUCGAUCACAUCAACAUCGACAUCCAUAUCCAUCUCAACCAUACUCAAUACCAUUACAAGAGUCGUACAAUACUAAUGGGGUUUUGUUGUUCAGUUUUUUUGCUAUGUUAAUUUGGACAAACUGUAUUGGAACGACCAUAAUUUUCUACCCAGUGAUCGGAAUGGCGAUCUGUCUUUUGGGUUGAAAAGUAGACUUAUCUAGCUUUCCAACGGUAUAUGUUUGGAUAGAAUACCAAAUGCCUCUGGUCAGAAACCUCAAACCUGUUUUCCCAACAAAGUACUAUGAACCAGAAGGCAAGCCAUAUACCGUUGGAAAACUAGAUGAGUGUAAUUGUGUAUGCUCGGGGUGGGGGGCAUUGAAGAUCUCUCUCACCAUUGUUUAGUAUCCUAAACUAAUGUGCUUAACGCAGACCUAGAGUAUUAAACUCUGCUCUCUUCAUUGUGCUUGAGUGGCAUGCGUGAAGUUGAUUAUAGUGGGGAUGACGUGGAUUGCAGCAUAAGUUGAGGAGGUUUUGUAAAUUUUUCAGUCUCUGUAGCUACUAAUGUACUCUGAAUCUUUGAUGGUGAGUCCGUGAAUGGAAUAUUUCUAUUCAUAUCUCCAAAAAAAAAAAAAAAAAAAAAUCUUUUUCAUGUAAACAAAUAGGUUCCAUCUUUCAAAAAGAUUUUGGCUUUCUAAAGAUCUAAUUUGCAUAGUUUUAGCUUAAAUUGUUUGAAACACAUCUUAACAUUAUAAAAUAAUGGGCGGAGCAACUAUGACUAUAAUAAUUUAAAAGGAUCCUAUGGCGGUUUGGUCUAUGUAUUAUCCUCGUAAUUUCUUCAUAAAAUUGUUUUUAAAACAAUGUAGGGAAGCUCUUUGUCCAUAAAUGAUACAGAGCAAUGAAAAGAAUUAUACUUUCAGCAUAAUAUACAGUGUGAGCGAGGAGCACUAAACAUAAACACCAUGUUGGGUUUUCUAUGUGUUAAUAUGGAUGUAGUUGUAUGGAUGUACCUACAUUUUGAAGAUGUAUGCACGACAAUGGGUCAAGAUUUUUUUUACGCUGUAUGAACGUAACUUCGGAAGAUGUACGUACGUGUUGCCAGUUUUUUGCCUAAAAUAAUAACAAACCCAGUUUUGGGCCCAUUUCAUAACUAUUGUAAGGCUAUCGUAUAAAGCGUAUUAGAUGAUGAGAAACCCAAAGCGAGGUGUGUGAGAGAUAUGUGAGAAGCCAUUAGAGAGUUUUUGAGAACUUCUUGUGAGGAAGAACACCACUAUGGUUUCUUCGUGAGGGCUUGUAAGAAUGUCUCCAUAAGAAAAGAAACAUCCUUUCUCCCCGUGGUCGUAGGAUCUUGGACAUUCCCCGUUUUGUUUUACAUUAGUUCGAUCACCAUAAUUGUGCAUUAGUUUUCCACUACACACAACAAGUAGUAUCAGAUUCGGUUAGAUCUUGAGUGUCUUGAAGGUGUUUGAAAAAUUCUACAUAGAGUUUCUUAUUUGCGUUUCACGCCAAAAGUUCCACAUUUUGUUCGUGAGUUGCCAAGGAGGCGUUUGUUGAAAUUCUAAUGUGAAUUUGUGGUUGUUUGUCUUCUGGUUGGGGAUUGUUUAAUGUAUGAAAAUUCAUUGAAGUAUUUCAGGAGAAUCAAAUUUGAAGGAUUCGAAGGGGGAAACCAAAACAAUGGUUGUCCACCAAGCAAAGAUUGAUAUAUAGAAGUUUACUAACACCAAUAACUUCGGUAUGUGGAGGUGUGAAGUAAUGAAUGUUGUACAAGACAUAGAUAAUGUGCUAGAGGAUAUGUCGAAUAGUGUUGAGGAGGAUGCAUGAAAAAGAAGAAUAAAAGAGCUUUUGGUAUCAUAAGGUCGUGUUUGGAUCAAAAUAUUAAGUACUUGGUCAUGAAUGACACAUCUGUGAAAGAGAUGUGGAAGAAGCUUGAAGACAAGUAUAUGAUGAGGAGUAUGCACAAUACUUUCUUCUUGUAGAUGAAGUUUUUUCGGAUGAAUAUGACGCCAGGUACUACGUAGUCUGAUAAUGUGGAUGAGUUCAAUAAAAUUAUAGUUGAUUUAGUAACUGUAUUAAGGGGUAUUUAGGGUUUGGUCACUUUAUGUAUAUACUAAUUAGGGAAAUAGCACUUAAGUUUGAUUAAUUAGGUUUUAGUCACGAAUCGGUGGCUGAACCAAAUAAUUUUAUAAAAUGGCUGAAAUACCCUCACUUAAAAAACAAUCUUACCUUGAUUUAAUGUAAUCUUAUGAACAACACAUAUAUCAAUGAUAUGCAUCUUAAGCUUGAGCCUCCAUUUUUAUACUCCAUUGAGAUGAACAGAGUGUUCUUCCUACUAAUACUAACCCCCAGAUCUCAUCAUCUCUUUUCCAUGAUUUCUUCUACCACUCCUAUUCUCUCAAAUCAACACCAAAAUCUCAUCAAAUUUGGGAUGUGGAACAAUAAGUAUGUUGAAUUUGAUCAUCACUAAGUAUUAUUAUCUGGUGUUAUUUGAAUUUGUAUGUUGUUAGUAUCUAAGGAAUUGAGAAGACCAACGUGGUUGUGGUGUUGAACAAAAUUGAAGAUAUGCAGCUUGACAACGAAUUGUUAAACAAGGUUGGAAUGAGAAUUUGGGAUUGAAGAGGAAUUGGGUUUUUCUUGAAGUGGGGAGAAGAAAAUAGUUAGGGUUUGUUAUCAACAUUUGAGAUGAGAGAAUUGUUUGAAGGUGAAGGGAGCAAAUUACAGGCUACGAGGAUUGAAGUUGUGGUGAUGGACAAUGAUUGAGAGAGAGAGGUGGUGGUGCUGGCUAUGGAGAAAGGUUGGUGGGU
rnacentral:lncRNA from 1 species